ACUUAAAUUGAAGAGUUUGAUCAUGGCUCAGAUUGAACGCUGGCGGCAGGCCUAACACAUGCAAGUCGAGCGGUAGCACAGAGAGCUUGCUCUCGGGUGACGAGCGGCGGACGGGUGAGUAAUGUCUGGGAAACUGCCUGAUGGAGGGGGAUAACUACUGGAAACGGUAGCUAAUACCGCAUAACGUCGCAAGACCAAAGUGGGGGACCUUCGGGCCUCAUGCCAUCAGAUGUGCCCAGAUGGGAUUAGCUAGUAGGUGGGGUAACGGCUCACCUAGGCGACGAUCCCUAGCUGGUCUGAGAGGAUGACCAGCCACACUGGAACUGAGACACGGUCCAGACUCCUACGGGAGGCAGCAGUGGGGAAUAUUGCACAAUGGGCGCAAGCCUGAUGCAGCCAUGCCGCGUGUGUGAAGAAGGCCUUCGGGUUGUAAAGCACUUUCAGCGGGGAGGAAGGCGUAAGGUUAAUAACCUUCGAUUGACGUUACCCGCAGAAGAAGCACCGGCUAACUCCGUGCCAGCAGCCGCGGUAAUACGGAGGGUGCAAGCGUUAAUCGGAAUUACUGGGCGUAAAGCGCACGCAGGCGGUCUGUCAAGUCGGAUGUGAAAUCCCCGGGCUCAACCUGGGAACUGCAUUCGAAACUGGCAGGCUAGAGUC
rnacentral:rRNA from 1 species